GACGAAGGUGGCAAGCGUUACUCGGAAUUACUAGGCGUAAAGGGCAGGUAGGCGGUCCGGUAAGUCUAUUGUGAAAGCUCCCGGCUUAACUGGGAGAGGCCAAUGGAUACUACCGGGCUUGAGUGUGUGAGAGGGUGCUGGAAUUCCCGGUGUAGCGGUGAAAUGCGUAGAGAUCGGGAGGAACACCUAUGGCGAAAGCAGGCACCUGGCACAUUACUGACGCUGAGCUGCGAAAGCUAGGGGAGCAAACAGG
rnacentral:rRNA from 1 species